CUCUGAUAAUGUUUAUAUACUUACAGUACUUACAUAUCUGAUUUUUCAUGUUUACUGUGGUCUUAUAGGCCAUGCAAAAUUCUGGGAAAAAGGGACUCAGAAUCAGGAGACCUGAGUUCUAAUCCAGGGCUUGCCAUUAGAUGAGAACUUGGGAAAGGCACCUGUGACUGCUGUCUCAUCUGUAAAAUGGGAGGCUUGGGCUAUGAUUUCCAAGGUACUUCUACCAGUUACAGUAUUGUUUGAUUCUAGGAUCUUGUUUUGUAUUUUACACUGUGUGUGCAUAUGUGUGUGUGUACACAAACAAGAUGGUUCCCAAAUGUUCUGUAUAACCUGUAAGUUCCUUCAUAGAAGAAAUGUCUUCCUGUCUCCUCAGAAUUUUCCUUCACAAUGUAUUAAUAGUAUGAGCCUCUACCUACUAGGGUCACUGAACAAAUAUUAGACUGAAUCAAAGUUGUGCAUUUGACUACAGACCUACAGAGAUGACUCUGGGAAAAGCUGCUCCUAUACUUCCAAGGGGAUAAAUCCCAAUGUACCUUGAAAAAUGGCUAGAUUUUUAAAAAGUAACCUUUCUCCUGGACUAGGCCCUUAUUUCUUCCCUUUUCUGAAACAGACCCAAGAAACAGUAAAUGUAUCAAGUUAUAUGCAUGCCAAUUACAGUGGACAUUCACAUAAUGGAGCAGUCACUUGUGUUUGGGAGGAGAAAGAUCAAGGAAGAACUCAUAGAGCAUUUGGCUGGGUCUUGAAGGGAACACUGAAUAGGUGGAGACUUGAAGAUCAGCCAGAGCAAAUAAAAAUAAUUAGCUUACCUAAAGCAUGGGCUCAUUUAACAAUAGUGAUUAGGCCAGGCUGAAAGGAAAGUAGGAAUAUAAGGACUGUAAAGAGAGAAUUACAGAAAUAAAGGUUAGAAAGUCUGGUUAGAGUCAGAGAGAUAUGGUAAUUUUAUAUUUGAAAUCUGGACAUGUGGUUUAACAGGAGGCAGGAUAUUUAAAAAUGAGAUGUUUAGGGAGAGCUGGUCAUGUAGAGAUAGAAGAUGACCCAGGUAAGGAUCGGAGGCUUUCCUCACUGAAGGUCCCUGUACAGGGAUUAAGAAAUCACAGCAACGACAACCUAGCAACAGUGUUCUAGACUCUAGUACAGCAACAGACGUAGAGUAUAGAAAUUCUCUGCAACAGUAUUGAGGGAAACUCACUAGAAGCUACUAUAAAUACUCCAGGAAAUAAGUAUGAAGGUCUGAAUACGAAUGGAGGCAAUGGGAAUGGAAAAAAAAGAUGAAAGGGUAUAACAGAAAGGAUAUAGCACCUGAAUGACUGUGGAGGGCAAAGAAGAAAGACUCAAAGGGGUACAUGUUUCUUCAUUGUUCAAGUUCUAAAGCUCUUGACAAAAUUAACACCAAUGUUUGCCCUUUAAAAAAAAAAAACA